GUAAGCGAAGCUCUUGAUCGAAGCCCCAGUAAACGGCGGCCGUAACUAUAACGGUCCUAAGGUAGCGAAAUUCCUUGUCGGGUAAGUUCCGACCUGCACGAAUGGCAUAAUGAUGGCGGCGCUGUCUCCAGCAGAGGCUCAGUGAAAUCGAAAUCGCUGUGAAGAUGCAGUGUACCCGCGGCUAGACGGAAAGACCCCGUGAACCUUUACUGCAGCUUGACACUGAACUUUGACCUUACUUGUGUAGGAUAGGUGGGAGGCUUUGAAGCUGGAACGCUAGUUCCAGUGGAGCCGUCCUUGAAAUACCACCCUGGUAAUGUUGAGGUUCUAACUCUGUCCCGUGAUCCGGGACGAGGACCGUGUCUGGUGGGUAGUUUGACUGGGGCGGUCUCCUCCUAAAGAGUAACGGAGGAGUACGAAGGUGCGCUCAGCGUGGUCGGAAAUCACGCGUAGAGUAUAAAGGCAAAAGCGCGCUUAACUGCGAGACCCACAAGUCGAGCAGGUACGAAAGUAGGUCUUAGUGAUCCGGUGGUUCUGUAUGGAAGGGCCAUCGCUCAACGGAUAAAAGGUACUCUGGGGAUAACAGGCUGAUACCGCCCAAGAGUUCAUAUCGACGGCGGUGUUUGGCACCUCGAUGUCGGCUCAUCUCAUCCUGGGGCUGAAGCAGGUCCCAAGGGUAUGGCUGUUCGCCAUUUAAAGAGGUACGCGAGCUGGGUUUAGAACGUCGUGAGACAGUUCGGUCCCUAUCUACCGUGGGCGCUGGAAAUUUGAGAGGAUCUGCUCCUAGUACGAGAGGACCAGAGUGGACGAACCUCUGGUGUACCGGUUGUGACGCCAGUCGCAUCGCCGGGUAGCUAUGUUCGGAAGGGAUAACCGCUGAAAGCAUCUAAGCGGGAAGCCUACCUCAAGAUAAGAUUUCCCUAGGACUUUAUGUCCUCUAAAGAGCCGUUCGAGACUAGGACGUUGAUAGGUUGGAUGUGGAAGCAUAGUGAUAUGUGAAGCUGACCAAUACUAAUUGCUCGUGAGGCUUGACUAU
rnacentral:rRNA from 1 species